rnacentral:rRNA from 1 species
AGUCUUUUGGUUUUUAAUAAAAGAUGUUUUCUGCUCGGUGAGGUUUAACAGCCGCGGUAAUUUGACCGUGCGAAGGUAGCAUAAUCAUUUGCUCUGUAAUUUAGGGCUUGAAUGAAUGGAUGUACAAAGGAUUUUCUGUCUUAAAAAAAUAAGUGGAAUUUGUUUUUAUUGUGAAGAAACAAUAAUUUAAUAAGGGGACAAGAAGACCCUUUUGAUCUUUACUUUUUUAAAUAAGGUUUAUUUUGAGAAAGUUUGGUUGGGGCGAUCAAAAAAGAAAAAAUCUUUUUUAAGUAAUUACUUUUGGUCCAGGAUUUUUGAGGUAAGGAUUAAGUUACCAAAGGGAUAACAGCGUUAUUUUUUUUGUGAGCUCUUAUUUAAAAAAAAGAUUGCGACCUCGAUGUUGACUUAUUAGUUUCCUGUUGGUGUAGCAGCUAAAUUGGAUGGUCUGUUCGACCUUUAAUUUUUU